AUACGGAGGAUCCGAGCGUUAUCCGGAUUUAUUGGGUUUAAAGGGUGCGCAGGCGGCCAUUUAAGUCAGCGGUUAAAUCGUGGGGCUCAACCCCAUUCUGCCGUUGAUACUGGGUGGCUUGAUUGCGGUCGAGGUUGGCGGAAUUCGUUGUGUAGCGGUGAAAUGCAUAGAUAUGACGAAGAACACCGAUUGCGUAGGCAGCUGACCAGACCGCAAAUGACGCUCAUGCACGAAAGUGCGGUGAUCGAACAGUAUUAGAUACUCUGGUAGUCCGCACAGUAAACGAUGAAUACUUGUUUUCGGCGAUAUAAUGUCGGAGGCAAAGCGAAAGCGAUAAGUAUUCCGCCUGGGGAGUACGCCGGCAACGGUGAAACUCAAAUGAAUUGACGGGG
rnacentral:rRNA from 1 species